rnacentral:rRNA from 1 species
GACGAACGCUGGCGGCGUGCUUAACACAUGCAAGUCGAACGGUAAGGCCCUUCGGGGUACACGAGUGGCGAACGGGUGAGUAACACGUGGGUGAUCUGCCCUGCACUUCGGGAUAAGCCUGGGAAACUGGGUCUGAUACCGGAUAGGACCACUGCCUGCAUGGGUGGUGGUGGAAAGCUUUUGCGGUGUGGGAUGGGCCCGCGGCCUAUCAGCUUGUUGGUGGGGUGAUGGCCUACCAAGGCGACGACGGGUAGCCGGCCUGAGAGGGUGACCGGCCACACUGGGACUGAGAUACGGCCCAGACUCCUACGGGGGGCAGCAGUGGGGAAUAUUGCACAAUGGGCGCAAGCCUGAUGCAGCGACGCCGCGUGAGGGAUGACGGCCUUCGGGUUGUAAACCUCUUUCAGCACCGACGAAGCGCAAGUGACGGUAGGUGCAGAAGAAGGACCGGCCAACUACGUGCCAGCCGCCGCGGUAA